CCUACGGGGGGCAGCAGUGGGGGAUAUUGCACAAUGGGGGGAACCCUGAUGCAGCGACGCCGCGUGGGUGAAGAAGCGCCUCGGCGCGUAAAGCCCUGUCAGCAGGGAAGAAAAUGACGGUACCUGAAGAAGAAGCCCCGGCUAACUACGUGCCAGCAGCCGCGGUAAUCCGUAGGGGGCAAGCGUUAAUCGGAAUUACUGGGCGUAAAGAGCUCGUAGGCGGGAUGUCAAGUCAAGGGUGAAAUCCCCGGGCUCAACGUGGGAACUGCCUUUGAAACUGGCAAACUGGAGUGUGUGAGAGGAGAGUGGAAUUCAAGGUGUAGGGGUGAAAUCCGUAGAUAUCAGGAGGAACAGC
rnacentral:rRNA from 1 species